rnacentral:rRNA from 1 species
UAUUGCGCAAUGGGGGAAACCCUGACGCAGCCACGCCGCGUGCAGGAAGAAGGCCUUCGGGUUGUAAACUGUUGUCGCAGGGGAAGAAGACAGUGACGGUACCCUGUGAGAAAGUCACGGCUAACUACGGGCCAGCAGCCGCGGUAAUACGUAGGUGACAAUCGUUGUCCGGAUUUACUGGGUGUAAAGGGCGCGUAGGCGGGAUAGCAAGUCGUUCGUGAAAUGCCGAGGCUUAACCUCGGAGCUGCGAUUGAAACUGUUAUUCUUGAGUAUCGGAGAGGAAAGCGGAAUUCCUAGUGUAGCGGUGAAAUGCGUAGAUAUUAGGAGGAACACCAGUGGCGAAGGCGGCUUUCUGGACGACAACUGACGCUGAGGCGCGAAAGUGUGGGGAGCAA